rnacentral:rRNA from 1 species
AUUGAACGCUGGCGGCAGGCCUAACACAUGCAAGUCGAGCGGAUGAAGGGAGCUUGCUCCUGGAUUCAGCGGCGGACGGGUGAGUAAUGCCUAGGAAUCUGCCUGUUAGUGGGGGAUAACGUCCGGAAACGGGCGCUAAUACCGCAUACGUCCUGAGGGAGAAAGUGGGGGAUCUUCGGACCUCACGCUAUCAGAUGAGCCUAGGUCGGAUUAGCUAGUUGGUGGGGUAAAGGCCUACCAAGGCGACGAUCCGUAACUGGUCUGAGAGGAUGAUCAGGCACAGUGGAACUGAGACACGGUCCAGACUCCUACGGGAGGCAGCAGUGGGGAAUAUUGGACAAUGGGCGAAAGCCUGAUCAAGCCAUGCCGGGUGUGUGAAGAAGGGCUUCGGAUGGUAAAGCACUUUAAGUGGGGAGGAAGGGCAGUAAGUUAAAACCUGGCUGUUUUGACGUUACCAACAGAAUAAGCACCGGCUAACUUCGUG